rnacentral:lncRNA from 1 species
UAAAGACAGUGAGUGACUAUGGGAAACACUUUUAGGAAGCUUGGUUUUAAGAGGUAAAAGAAAGAUAAAGAGAUAGCUGGUUGAAUGAGGUGUGUGUGUGUAUGUGUGUGUGUGUAAAAGUGGGAGAGGCUUGAGCCUUUUCUGACCAUUUAGGCUCAUAAACACCAGUGGACAGAGAAAGAGGUUGAAGGUAGGGGAGAGUGAGG